rnacentral:rRNA from 1 species
UACGGGGGGAGCAAGCGUUGUUCGGAUUUACUGGGCGUAAAGGGCGCGUAGGCGGCCAGCACAAGUCAGUUGUGAAAUCUCCGGGCUUAACUGGGAGGGUGCGGCGGAGACUGGAGUGCUAGAGUGUGGGAGAGGUAAGCGGAAUUCCAGGUGUAGCGGUGAAAUGCGUAGAUAUCUGGAGGAACACCGGUGGCGAAGGCGGCAUCCUGGACCGGCAUUGACGCUGAGGCGCGAAAGCGUGGGGAGCGAACAGG